UACGAAGGGUGCAAGCGUUACUCGGAAUUACUGGGCGUAAAGGGCGCGUAGGCGGCCAUCUAAGUCAGACGUGAAAUCCCCCGGCUUAACCUGGGAACUGCGUCUGAUACUGGAAGGCUCGAGUUUGGGAGAGGGAUGUGGAAUUCCAGGUGUAGCGGUGAAAUGCGUAGAUAUCUGGAGGAACACCGGUGGCGAAGGCGGCAUCCUGGACCAACACUGACGCUGAGGCGCGAAAGCUAGGGGAGCAAACGGG
rnacentral:rRNA from 1 species